UAGACCUAAACUUGAGGAGGAAAUCCUAAACCUAAGCGGUCUAAACUCUAGGUCAAUGCCCUAACCAUAGAUAGUGUGUUAGUAUUAACUGACAAUUACUACUUAUUAUCCCUUCCAAUAUUAUUAUAAAUUAAUUAUAUAAACUAGGUUUCGACUCCUAAGCAGAGCCUAAAACUAAACUCUAGGACGAAAACCCUAAUUCUAUGUUAAAACCCUAAGAUAGAUAACUCAAACCCUAGGUUGUGAUCUUAAACCUAGGAAGUGUGCAGAACUUGGAUCUAAUUGUACAAGUUCACAAUUUGUGGUAAGAUACAAUGUUAAGGCGCAAGCACUUAGCGACACUAGAAGGCGAUUCAAAGUAUAAGGUAGCACAGGUGGCCCAGGUGAAAUUCAUGUUUAUAUUGACGAGGAGCAAGCUAUAUUUGACAGGGAUGCAUGAUUAUGAUUGCUAAGGGUUGCUACAGGAUUUCAUAUCCCAAAUUUAUUGUAAUUUACUUUAUUUCACAUGUAAUAUUAUUUCAUUUUAUAAUUGUAAGAAUGGGGACAUUGGUUUGUAUAAGUCAUUAUGUGCAGCUCUUAUAUAUUUCAAAUAUAAAUGAAGUUUUCCUUUAUGUUUAUUUGUC